GACGAACGCUGGCGGCGUGCCUAAUACAUGCAAGUCGAGCGGACUGAUUAAGAGCUUGCUCUUAUGACGUUAGCGGCGGACGGGUGAGUAACACGUGGGCAACCUGCCCUGUAGAUCGGGAUAACACCGAGAAAUCGGUGCUAAUACCGGGUAAUAUCUGAGAUCACAUGAUCUUAGGUUAAAAGAUGGCUCCGGCUAUCACUACAGGAUGGGCCCGCGGCGCAUUAGCUAGUUGGUAAGGUAAUGGCUUACCAAGGCGACGAUGCGUAGCCGACCUGAGAGGGUGAGCGGCCACACUGGGACUGAGACACGGCCCAGACGCCUACGGGAGGCAGCAGUAGGGAAUCUUCCGCAAUGGACGAAAGUCUGACGGAGCAACGCCGCGUGAGUGAUGAAGGGUUGCGGCUCGUAAAGCUCUGUUGUUAGGGAAGAAACAGUACCGAACGAACUAGGUCGGUACCUUGACGGUACCUAACCAGAAAGCCACGGCUAACUACGUG
rnacentral:rRNA from 1 species